AGCCUGCAACUGAGGUGUGUGCCCUUGACCGGAAUCAAACCCGGGACCCUUCAGUCCGCAGGCCUACGCUCUAUUCACUGAGCCAAACUGGCUAGGGCUGCCCUGCUUUUUGAACAGGGAAUGUGCACAAACUAUUGAAGAUGUGGAUUAAAUUGCAGGUGAUCCAGCACCAGGAUCAGAGGCUGCAGUGAAAUUUCCCAGGUGAGAUUACCAGCACACUUUUGGGAAGACAGCUCUACCACUGCCCCUGUUAGAAUGGAGAUGAUGGUGAGGAGGAGGAGGAUGGGGGUGAUGAUACCUCGUAGGGUGGUUGUGAGGUUUGAAUGAGGUCAUGGGUGGAGAGGGUUUAGCUUAGCACAACAUCUGGCAUGGAGUUAAGAGCUCCAGGGCUUGUCCAUGUGCAGCCAUACCAGAGGUAAACGUAUUUCAAUCUUAAGUGCUGCUUGGUAAAGAGCUGUAUCCCUGAGCCACCUGAGUGCCUCCCUUGGGCCCUCUAGACCUCCUCACAGCCCAGCAACUGACAGGUUAACACCCAGGCACAGCAGGGGCCUCCAGGACCCUGCGCAGCCCAUGGCCAGCAUUGAUUCUAAUGCAUGGGCACCCAUGCUUUACCAGUGGUUACAUAUUUUGCAAUCACCCUAUGUCUUCUUCAAAGCGCGACUCUGAGAUACGGAUCUGUUUUUCUAGUAACAUCUGGCCACACACCACCAGACCUCUCACAGGGUUCCAAACUAAUGGCAGCAUUUCCCCCCAGACCUCAUCUGCAUGGACUCUGCUCGUAACUGCACUGACUAAAUGAACCAUCCCUCAUGCACCUCUUGCUCCACCACCAGAACACACAUGCAGCGCCCAGGUGUCUGAGUACCUGCAGAUGUGUGAACUAGCCGAUGCAUGCCUGGGUCUCCAUCUUGCUGAGAGAAAGGCGAGAGGUGUGGUGAGAGCAUUCUUGUCCUGCCUCUGGGGCUGGGCCCACAGUGGGAGGAGGUGAAAAAGUACAGAGGCGGAGAGAUGGCUGCCCCUCCCCCUGUGCUUGGUCAGGGGGUUGUGCUGUGCUUGGUCAGGGGGUUGAUUCCACAGCAGCUGUUUAUCACGAACAGGGCACUGAGCUGCACCCGCUUGGGGAGUAGAGAUGAGAGGGGAGUUUUCCGUUCCUUGGAGAGUCCCAGCUGAACAGGACACAGGACACUGUAAUCACGGUAUAGGGGUGCACACAGCAGGGAGUGAUGAGGUCCGGGAACUUGGUUGCCAUUGUGUUGCCUUCCCAGUAUCUAGUCCUCCCUAAUG